rnacentral:rRNA from 1 species
ACGAACGCUGGCGGCGUGCUUAGCACAUGCAAGUCGAACGGAAAGGCCCUGCUUUUGUGGGGUGCUCGAGUGGCGAACGGGUGAGUAACACGUGAGUAACCUGCCCUUGACUUUGGGAUAACUUCAGGAAACUGGGGCUAAUACCGGAUAGGAGCUCCUGCUGCAUGGUGGGGGUUGGAAAGUUUCGGCGGUUGGGGAUGGACUCGCGGCUUAUCAGCUUGUUGGUGGGGUAGUGGCUUACCAAGGCUUUGACGGGUAGCCGGCCUGAGAGGGUGACCGGCCACAUUGGGACUGAGAUACGGCCCAGACUCCUACGGGAGGCAGCAGUGGGGAAUAUUGCACAAUGGGCGGAAGCCUGAUGCAGCAACGCCGCGUGCGGGAUGACGGCCUUCGGGGUGUAAACCGCUUUCGCCUGUGACGAAGCGUGAGUGACGGUAAUGGGUAAAGAAGCACCGGCUAACUACGUG